GACAGAGGUGCCAAGCGUUAGGCGGAAUCACUGGGCUUAAAGCGUGUGUAGGCGGAUCGUUAAGUGCCUUGUGAAAUCCCACGGCUUAACCGUGGAACUGCUCGGCAUACUGGCGGCCUUGAGCAACCUAGGGGCGAGCGGAACAAAUGGUGGAGCGGUGAAAUGCGUAGAUAUCAUUUGGAACGCCAAUGGUGAAAACAGCUCGCUGGGGGUUUGCUGACGCUGAGACACGAAAGCCAGGGGAGCGAACGGG
rnacentral:rRNA from 1 species